rnacentral:rRNA from 1 species
GACGAACGCUGGCGGCGUGCUUAACACAUGCAAGUCGAACGGAAAGGCCCUGCUUUUGUGGGGUGCUCGAGUGGCGAACGGGUGAGUAACACGUGAGUAACCUGCACUUGACUUUGGGAUAACUCCAGGAAACAGGGGCUCAUAUCGGAUAGGAGCUACUGCUGCGUGGUGGGGGUUGGAAAGUUUCGGCGGUGGGGGCUGGAUUCGCGGGUUACGAGCUUGUUGGGGGGGUAGUGGCUUACCAGGGUUAUGACGGGUAGCCCGCCUGAGAGGGUUAACGGCCACAUUAGGACUGAGAUAGGGCCCAGAAUGCUACGGUAGGCAACAGUGGAGAAUAUUGCACAAUGGGGGGGAGCCUGAUGCAGCAACGCCGCGUGCGGGAUGACGGCCUUCGGGUUGAAAACCGCUUUCGCAUGUAACGAAGAGUGCGUGACGGUAAUGGGUAAAGAAGCACCGGCUAACUACGUG